rnacentral:rRNA from 1 species
GUGGAUCUGCCCUCGCACUCUGGAUAAGCUUUGGAAACUGGGUCUAAUACCGGAUAGGAACCAUCUUUAGUGUGGUGGUUGGAAAGUUUUUUCGGUGUAGGAUGAGCUCGCGGCCUAUCAGCUUGUUGGUGGGGUAAUGGCCUACCAAGGCGGCGACGGGUAGCCGGCCUGAGAGGGUGUACGGCCACAUUGGGACUGAGAUACGGCCCAG